AAUAUCAAAGAACACACGUAAAGCUUCACCAGCCCUGGGUUUGAGCAUGCGCGGGUCAUCAUAAUUUAUAUGUUUCGAUGACAACGACGACAACAACAACACAGAUCCAGCAGGCGGGGGGCUGCAUGUGUAGAACAAGUAAGCAGCUCACAGAUGCAGGGUGGUGAUCAGCGUGAGGACGCUGCAGAAGCUGCUCAGACGGGAAAUCAUGGAAGAGCGGAUUUUUACUGCUGUGAGGUCAUCGACGGCCUGGAACAGUAAGAGGACAGGUACAGGCUGAUUGACUCGUUUCACUGAUUGUGGCCUUUUUUAUGGACCAAGCGUGGCCUGUUUUCUGUUACAGCUCCCUGCUGCACUAAGUGGAGCAGCUCUCGUGCAUGAAGUUCCUCGUUUGAUCGUUUCCAGCGCAGAUCUUUAAUCAUCCGGUCAGCUGACACUGCAGAAGUCACCUGGAUCAGUGAUGAAACGUCCUGACGACUGGAUGGACUUCCUGGGAGCGCCCUACCUGAUCACUGCGUGUGGAUGGAGAGGAGAGUGUUCCUCUGAAGUGUCUGAAUGCAGAGUGAAAGACGAACAAAGACGAAGAUCUUUAUCCACCAGACUUUUAAUUUGAAGAGACAGCUGAUUAUUCAGAGCUUUACACCCUUUCAGUAUAAAAGCCUUUAAAUGAGUUAAACGUGAGAAAAAAAGCAGACGACAGAAUAAAUAAUGUGACCGUCAGAGGGAGCAGAAACGCAACGUAAACAGGAUAUGAUGUCAUCAAAGGAACAGGAAUGGCUCUUUGGUCGACAAUUAGCUAAAGGAACUAAAAACCGACAGAAGGAGGAAGAUGACGAUGACGAGGUUUUUUGGUAAUCAGCUGAUUUCUGACAUCAGGCUUAAAGGGUCAGUUCACCUGUUGAGGGGCGGAACUAAUAAACUGCAGGCCAGCGUGGAUGCUCGAGCAGACACCAAGCUCGCGUGAACUGACCCUUUAACGAGUCAUGCUGGUUUCCACAGAAACGAACUUAAAUGACAGCAGAGAUAAGACACUGCGAUUGGCUGAUUGUCUGAAACCCGUGUGAACCGACCCCUGCUGUGGUGCGUUUGUGGGCAGAGUGCGGAGGUCCUAGAGUGCGUGCUCUCGCGGCGGCAGCAUGUGCAGCACCUGGUCGAGCAGCUGCAGCGCUCGGUGCAGGUGCACCUCCAGCCAGCAGGGGGUGUCCUUGAUGCUCUGCCGUGGGUAGUCACACCCCCACCCUUUGACGAAGCUCAGCCGCACGAUGCACAGCCUGCGGAGGUCGUCCACGCCCAGACCGGCCGCUGAGCGCACACCUGCGGGAGGAAGCACAGCUGUGUUGGGCAGGUGAUACUCACUGACAGCAGGCGCGAUUCCUCCCACACUGUUCGGACCGGGAAUUGCA